GAUGAACGCUGGCGGCGUGCCUAAUACAUGCAAGUCGAGCGAACGGACGAGAAGCUUGCUUUUCUAAUGUUAGCGGCGGACGGGUGAGUAACACGUGGAUAACCUACCUAUAAGACUGGGAUAACUUCGGGAAACCGGAGCUAAUACCGGAUAAUAUUUUGAACCGCAUGGUUCAAAAGUGAAAGACGGUCUUGCUGUCACUUAUAGAUGGAUCCGCGCUGCAUUAGCUAGCUGGUAAGGUAACGGCUUACCAAGGCAACGAUGCAUAGCCGACCUGAGAGGGUGAUCGGCCACACUGGAACUGAGACACGGUCCAGACUCCUACGGGAGGCAGCAGUAGGGAAUCUUCCGCAAUGGGCGAAAGCCUGACGGAGCAACGCCGCGUGAGUGAUGAAGGUCUUCGGAUCGUAAAACUCUGUUAUUAGGGAAGAACAUAUGUGUAAGUAACUGUGCACAUCUUGACGGUACCUAAUCAGAAAGCCACGGCUAACUACGUG
rnacentral:rRNA from 1 species